UCUGAGGCAGUACUGCCAGAGAGAGGGGAAGAGAAGUGAAGAUCCGUUCGGCAGAGUAGCUGUUGACAUUAUACUUGCGCAGGCACUUUGGUGACUCUAGAGAACCUCGGGCCAAUCACACGUCCCCGUGACGUCGACUUUGCAUUCGGAUGUCUGCCCUAUCAACUUUCGAUGCCACUUUCUGCACCUAUCAUGGUGACCACGGAUAACAGGGAAUCAGGGUUCGAUUCCGGAGAGGGAACCUGAGAAACGGCUACCACAUCCAAGGAUUGCAGCAGGCGCGCAAAUUACCCACUCCCGAUGCGGGGAUGUAGUGAUGA